UGGGGAAUAUUGCGCAAUGGGGGCAACCCUGACGCAGCAACGCCGCGUGAAGGACGAAGGUUUUCGGAUUGUAAACUUCUUUGACACAGGACGAUAAUGACGGUACUGUGAAAACAAGCCACGGCUAACUACGUGCCAGCAGCCGCGGUAAUACGUAGGUGGCGAGCGUUGUCCGGAAUUACUGGGUGUAAAGGGCGAGUAGGCGGAUUGACAAGUCAGAUGUGAAAUACCACGGCUUAACUGUGGGGGUGCAUUUGAAACUGUUGAUCUUGAGUGAUGGAGAGGCAGGCGGAAUUCCUAGUGUAGCGGUGAAAUGCGUAGAUAUUAGGAGGAACACCAGUGGCGAAGGCGGCCUGCUGGACAUUAACUGACGCUGAGGCGCGAAAGCGUGGGGAGCAAACAGG
rnacentral:rRNA from 2 species